rnacentral:lncRNA from 1 species
GAAAUUUCUUGAUUAUGUUAAUACCGCCUAGGGAUACGGGUAGGAUGAUCAGUUGUAUUUUGCUUCCGUUCCCUAUGCAUUAUUAGUUACUGGGGGAUGCUAGGGAUAGCAAGCCGGUAAUUAAUAAUAGGCUCUUUUCGCCAAGGAAUUGGGUUAAGGGUAGACAAGGAAAGUUUGCAUGCAAUUAGAUAAACAAGUGAAUUAAAUAAGAAGAGUAGAUAGAUGAGAGUGGAUAAGAUGAAAUUGUAAACCCCAA